AGAGCGAACGCUGGCGGCAGGCUUAACACAUGCAAGUCGAGCGGGCGUAGCAAUACGUCAGCGGCAGACGGGUGAGUAACGCGUGGGAACGUACCUUUUGGUUCGGAACAACACAGGGAAACUUGUGCCAAUACCGGAUAAGCCCUUACGGGGAAAGAUUUAUCGCCAAAAGAUCGGCCCGCGUCUGAUUAGCUAGUUGGUGAGGUAACGGCUCACCAAGGCGACGAUCAGUAGCUGGUCUGAGAGGAUGAUCAGCCACAUUGGGACUGAGACACGGCCCAAACUCCUACGGGAGGCAGCAGUGGGGAAUAUUGGACAAUGGGCGCAAGCCUGAUCCAGCCAUGCCGCGUGAGUGAUGAAGGCCCUAGGGUUGUAAAGCUCUUUUGUGCGGGAAGAUAAUGACGGUACCGCGAAGAAUAAGCCCCGGCUAACUUCGCGCCAGCAGCCGC
rnacentral:rRNA from 1 species